AAGGGCACCACAAGAACGCGUGGAGCAUGUGGCUUAAUUUGACUCAACGCGGGAAAUCUUACCGGGUCCGGACACACUGAGGAUUGACAGAUAUAUUAAUUAUUAAUAAAUAUAUUUUAUUAAUAUUAGAAAGAUGCUAGUUCUUUCAUGAUUAUGUGAUAGGUGGUGCAUGGCCGUUCUUAGUUCGUGGAGUGAUCUGUCUGCUUAAUUGCGUUUCACUAAAGGUCUUAUAUAUUAUACAGUGUGUUGACACUUUGCAUUGACCCCUACUCAUUGAGUGGUUGCGUGUCUUUGUUAUACUGUCUCAUACUUAUUUAGGCCUUGAAAGCAACGAACGUGACCGCAACCUCUUGUUGCCUUAUACAAUAAAUAAUAUAUAUGUAUCUCUGCAUACAAUAUAUUAUUAAUAAAGGCUAUUUUAUUAUUAAACUAGAGGGACCGCUGUGAUCCUUUUUAAACCAGAGGAAGGUUGCGGCAAUAACAGGUCUGUGAUGCCCUUAGAUGUUCCGGGCUGCACACGUGCUACAAUGAUUAUUGCAGUGAGCAUCUCAUUUAUAUUAACAGCUGUCUUGUACGUGUAUUUUUAUUGUAUUUUUAUAAUAUUAAUAAUUAUUACAUUGUACACAGCUAAGCCUGCUUCGAGAGGUCAGCGGGUAACCAAUUAGAAGUAAUGAUUUCUAUUUUAUUAUGCACAAUUAUAUGUGGCAUUUAUAUCCGGGUUAUAACUUUUGCUUAUAAUCAUUGUGUGUAUAAAUGUAUUAUAUCCACAUGUGCAAUUAUUAAUUCAUGGUGGGGACAGACUAUUGUUAAUUGUUAGUCUCGGUCUUAACUAGGAAUGCCUUGUACGGGUCUUUGGUUCAACAAACCACCCGGAAUACGUCCCUGCCCUUUGUACACACCGCCCGUCGCUCUUACCGAUGAACUUCUCUGUGAGUCUAAUGGACUAAUUAUUAUUAUUUAUAUAAUUUAUAAUGGAAAAUUAUACGAACAGGGUGGUUUAAAGGAAAGAGAAGUCGAACAAGGC
rnacentral:rRNA from 2 species